rnacentral:rRNA from 1 species
AAAUCCUAGGGACGCAGCAGUGAGGAAUAUUGGUCAAUGGGCGGUAGCCUGAACCAGCCAAGUAGCGUGAAGGAUGAAGGUUCUAUGGAUUGUAAACUUCUUUUAUAAAGGAAUAAAGUGAGGCACGUGUGCCUUUUUGUAUGUACUUUAUGAAUAAGGAUCGGCUAACUCCGUGCCAGCAGCCGCGGUAAUACGUAGGAUCCGAGCGUUAUCCGGAUUUAUUGGGUUUAAAGGGAGCGUAGAUGGGUUGUUAAGUCAGUUGUGAAAGUUUGCGGCUCAACCGUAAAAUUGCAAUUGAUACUGGC